CCAGAAUCCACUCUGGCUGGAAUCCGGUGGAUACAGCAGUGUUACAGAACAGUUCGCCACAGUCGCUGUCCACAUGGGUCAGUGGGACCAAGCAGCACUCUGCUGAUGUGUGGACUCUGACCAGCAACAUCCAGCAAGACCCAAGCAGCGUUUUCUAUCUCCCAGCUGGAGUUUUUUGUUUGUCUGUGACUGGAGAGUCAGAUUUUUGUUGAGGCUGGAGGAACAGAGAGGUUAAUACACGCUACUGAUCCCUGAUGGGAGAAUCAUCACCUCUGCCAACAAAGAAGCCUGGUGGAUAUUUGUUUACAGUCUGAUGAUGGGACAUCAUGCUCUGCAUCUUCAAAGUUUGUCUCUUGAUUAUUAUUCAUACACAGUAAUGUGAAUUAUGCUUAUAUCUAGUAUAACUGGACCAACCUGGUGCUCUUCAUUUAUGGAGGCUGUUGAGUUUGAAUGUUGGAUGUUGUGUAUCUCGUGUUCUCUGGGCUUUGUUGUCCUCAGUCUUUUUGCAGGAUCAGAAAACAAAACCAGGAUGACCAUAAAUGUUUCUUCUCCAAUUGGAUGAUGAUAAGACUGUGACACGGGAUGCCACCUUUAGUCUUGUGAUGAAGCAAAGCUCAGGAAGAAGUGUGAUUAAAUGGUACCCACAUGUGUGCUGCUGAGAAGGAUGUACAGGGGCACCUGCAGCCAAAUCCAAGCCGCCUCAGGGGUGUUUCUGAGUGAGGGAGAGAGGAGUCAUCAUCCAGGUAAAGUGACGUGGAUCAGUGGACACACUUGUCUCCCCUUUAAAGGAGACACUCUUAGAGAGAGACGAUCCGAGUCAUCCCUAAAUAUGGGAAGGAUAUCAGUCUUGGACUGUCUAACCUGCCGGAGCAGCACUGAAUAACCACCACACAUGAUCAGUUCCUGCAACAUUCAGCAGCUCUGCUUUUGUGUCAAAUGUCAAACAGCUGGAGAGGAAACUACACCACUGUCCUGGGAUGUUUCAGCGACACGUGCCAGAUGCUGUUCCUUCAUGGUGACAUCACCAGAGACAGCCCCGCCCACCUCAGGACCUCGCCAUUGAUCAUGAUUAUAAUCGGAACUAAGACUGUACAAAUCCACGACCAGAAUGUUUAGAUGCUUUCUAAUUAUUAAUGAAUACUGAGAGCCUCUUUCUGUGUUUUGUCUGUUUUGGGUUGUUUUUUUUUUUUUACCUCAUUUGUUACUAACAAAGUUCACCAAACUCACACAGUUUACAUUCUGUAUGUUUCCAUCUUUACCAGCCACACUCUACCCGCAAUUAAGCAAAUAAUCCUUAGAAAUCGUUGUUUUUCUCUUUUGUAAUUUUGUAAUUCAGUGAAUAUACGGCGCUGCUUCCUUUUAUUGUGUCACACAUUGCUUUACGUUUUUCAGUGUCCAGUUAUUUUUUACUGCUGUUUGAAUUCUCUGCAUGUUUGACCCUGUAGACUGUUUGAUGGACUGCUUGUCUUCCUGUUUGUAACCACCGCCUGUUUUUGACUAAAGAUUUGGAUUUCUGACUUUAA